GUAGGUGAACCUGCGGAAGGAUCAUUACAGAGUAUCAUGCCCUUCGGGGUAGAUCUCCACCCUUGAAUAACAUACCUUUGUUGCUUUGGCAGGACGCACUCGUGCCAGGGGCUUCGGCUCUUGAGCGCCCGCCGGACGACAAAUAACUCUUGUUCUUUACUGGCCUCUCUGAGUAUUUAUACAAAUAAGUUAAAACUUUCAACAACGGAUCUCUUGGUUCUG
rnacentral:misc_RNA from 1 species